rnacentral:rRNA from 1 species
CUGGCUCAGGAUGAACGCUGGCGGCGUGCCUAACACAUGCAAGUCGAACGGGGUGUCUGAUCUUCGGACUGGACACUUAGUGGCGGACGGGUGAGUAACGCGUGGGUAACCUGCCUCAUACAGGGGGAUAGCAGUUGGAAACGACUGAUAAUACCGCAUAAGCGCACAGUACCGCAUGGUACAGUGUGAAAAACUCCGGUGGUAUGAGAUGGACCCGCGUCUGAUUAGCUUGUUGGCGGGGUAACGGCCCACCAAGGUGACGAUCAGUAGCCGGCCUGAGAGGGUGAACGGCCACAUUGGGACUGAGACACGGCCCAAACUCCUACGGGAGGCAGCAGUGGGGAAUAUUGCACAAUGGGGGAAACCCUGAUGCAGCGACGCCGCGUGAAGGAUGAAGUAUUUCGGUAUGUAAACUUCUAUCAGCAGGGAAGAUGAUGACGGUACCUGACUAAGAAGCCCCGGCUAACUACGUGCCAGCAGCCGC